GAUGAAGAACGUAGCGAAAUGCGAUAAGUAGUGUGAAUUGCAGAAUUCAGUGAAUCAUCGAAUCUUUGAACUCACAUUGCGCCCCUUGGUAUUCCAUGGGGCAUGCCUGUUCGAGCGUCAUUUGUACCUUCAAGCUUUGCUUGGUGUUGGGUGUUUGUCCUGAGGGACUCGCCUUAAAGUAAUUGGCAGCCAGUGUUUGGUUUUGAAGCGCAGCACAAGUCGCGAUUCAAGGCUAUACACCAGCUUCCACAAGCCUUUUUCACUUUUGACCUCGGAUCAGGUAGGGAUGCCCGCUGAACUUAAGCAUAUCAAUAAGCGGAGGA
rnacentral:misc_RNA from 1 species